rnacentral:rRNA from 1 species
UACGUAGGGUGCGAGCGUUAAUCGGAAUUACUGGGCGUAAAGCGUGCGCAGGCGGUUUUGUAAGCCAGAUGUGAAAUCCCCCGGGCUUAACCUGGGAAUGGCAUUUGGGACUGCAAGGCUGGAGUGCGGCAGAGGAGACUGGAAUUCCUGGUGUAGCAGUGAAAUGCGUAGAUAUCAGGAGGAACACCGAUGGCGAAGGCAGGUCUCUGGGCUGAUACUGACGCUGAGGAGCGAAAGCCAGGGGAGCAAACGGG